AUCACCCUGGGCGAAAGGGGGCGUCAUGAAAAUCUGGAUCCUGAUUUAACUGAAAAUCAGCAGGCUCUGCCAAAGGACUUCAAGGUAUCCUUUUUAAUUGCCGCUGCUUAAGAAAAUGGAAUGGAGUGAACUGCCAGGAGCGGCUUCCUCUGCUGGCUGCAGCUGCUGAAGCACAAAUGCAGGGGAACUCCCACUCUGUCACCGAAAUCACAGCUGACAGCACUGAGCCCUUCGGCCUCUUGGAGGAGCACCAGCUUAACAUUACAGCUGAAUUCUGGGGCCUGACUUUCCCCGCGUAUGUGUUGGCUCCUUGCAUACUUUGUGCAAUCCAUCGGGCCAAUUCGGGAGGAUACUGGCUAGAGUCAAUGGCAGGAGCUGCUACAGAGCCUCCAUGGGUA